AUAAAAGUAGUGAUUAGAAAAAGUAAUUAGCAAAUUCCUCAUCCAGAGAGUCCGGGUAGCUGCGAACCGGGCAGAUAUUGCUAACGAACCCACAUCUAUGAACUGCCGCGGUGAACCUUGGUGUCUUUAGCCGUGGCCGAAUGGUUUCGUUAUCCAAGUUGACUUUAAGUCAACAUGAGGUCGUCAGUGUGAGCUGGCGAUGAAAUAAGGUGGAAUCACGUCCAAACGUCCUUUUA
rnacentral:ncRNA from 1 species